rnacentral:lncRNA from 1 species
GCUUUAAUUUACUGCAUUUUAUAAACAUGAAAACAAAAUAAAAAGAGUGCGUAGAUAAGUGUGCUUUAUUUAUCUGCUAAGUUUAAUCUCUAGAAAAAUAAAAAGACCAAAAAGAUGCAUGAUGGAAAUGAUGAACAGUUGCUCUGUUUGCGUACUUUCAAGUACCUAGCUUUUAUAUUAGAGUUCUUCCAGGAAUUACUAAAAACUGAAAUUAUUAUUUAUGGGAAACAUAAAACUAAAGUCUAGGUAGGAGAAAGACAUAAUAUAAAGUUUGAGCUGCUGUUUAUCUUGUUCCUACUACACUAAGUUCUGGAGAUUUAUUUUGAAAACUUACAAAUCACAUGAUGAGUUCCUAGCAUAACAAACUACCUACCACAGCCAUACUUCCUAUAAUAUCUUUUACUUAUAUUUACAUUGAGUUUGAUUGAGCUGUGUAGACCCUUAGGAGCUUUUCAUGUGGUUAAAUUAAGAUAUUCACUUGCACACAUCUACUACACCAUCCACCACCAUUCAUUAAAAUUGCUAAAAAAAUAUUAUUAUCACUCACUGUCCCAAAUAUUGUUAUUCUCUCUCUCUAAAAAGAUUCAAUGCAGAAGAGGCAUGGGUUAUACAAAAAUAUGCAAGGAAAUAAAAAGGGGCAAGUGCCUGGAACCUCGGAAAAGAAAGAAAAAGAGUGAGACGAGAGGUAAAAAUGGACAAGUGUCCGGAGUAGAAUUAGGGGUACAAAGAUGCCCACUUGAGCGAAAAAAAUGGACAAGUGUCCGACAGUAGAAUUAUGGGUAUUUACUACCCACCUAAAAAAAAGAAGAAAAAGAGAUAGCCCAUGUUCUCCCAAAGCAAUGAUCAAAGAAGAGGAGAGAUAGCAAUAUGAGGAGCAAUAAGAAGUAAGCUUUAUCAUUACUUAUAUUUUCACUAUCACUAUCAUUUACUCCACCACACAUGCACAUCUUGAUUUAAUUAUAUGCUGAGUUCCUUUGGAUCCAUGGCUCGAUUAGACAACAUAUGUAUGAGCUGUUUUUCACUCCUAUGAGCUCCACUUAAACAUUCCAUUAGCUAUAGGUAAGUGACAUUUUUGGUAAGGAUCCACAAAUACCAUAUAUAGAGAGACUUGAGAGAAUCAUUGCUGGGAACUCUGAGUUUUAUUUUGAAAACUUAUGAAAAACUAUGGAACAAAGGUGAAGUAUAGACAGGAGGAAUAGUGCUUGACUUAAUUAUUUUGUCUUUCAAUUACUUAAGACUUAAGUGCAGGUACUAAGUUCUAUAACACUUCACUCUAAUCUGGAAGAAUUUUGUAAAAGCAUGUGUGCCUGUCAGGAAAGAAAACAUCGAAGCAGCUCCUGAUCAAAGUGUAAGCUUGUGGGAGUUUGUUGACGGUCCUUAAGUACUAAAAU